rnacentral:lncRNA from 1 species
GGGAUUGGGUUGUAUCUUUCGGUCAAAAAAAUGGUUGUUCUUUGUUUUUGCAACAUCAACUUUCAGACCGUGCAUUGCACAGCUCUCAAAGCAGCCAUUGCACGAUCCCAUAUCUUUCCUCUAUUCAUCUGCAUAGAUCUUAAACCAGUCAUUAUGAGAUCUCAUGGUUGAUGCUGCGACAAUGAUGAAUCAUAGCCCCC